rnacentral:rRNA from 1 species
AAAGUAGCUUGCUACUUUUGCCGGCGAGUGGCGAACGGGUGAGUAAUGUAUCGGAACGUGCCCAGUAGCGGGGGAUAACUACGCGAAAGCGUGGCUAAUACCGCAUACGCCCUACGGGGGAAAGGGGGGGAUCUUAGGACCUCUCACUAUUGGAGCGGCCGAUAUCGGAUUAGCUAGUUGGUGGGGUAAAGGCCUACCAAGGCGACGAUCCGUAGCUGGUUUGAGAGGACGACCAGCCACACUGGGACUGAGACACGGCCCAGACUCCUACGGGAGGCAGCAGUGGGGAAUUUUGGACAAUGGGGGAAACCCUGAUCCAGCCAUCCCGCGUGUGCGAUGAAGGCCUUCGGGUUGUAAAGCACUUUUGUCAGGGAAGAAAAGGUUUCGGAUAAUACCCGGAACUGAUGACGGUACCUGAAGAAUAAGCACCGGCUAACUACGUGCCAGCAGCCGCGGUAAUACGUAGGGUGCAAGCGUUAAUCGGAAUUACUGGGCGUAAAGCGUGCGCAGGCGGUUCGGAAAGAAAGAUGUGAAAUCCCAGGGCUCAACCUUGGAACUGCAUUUUUAACUACCGAACUAGAGUAUGUCAGAGGGGGGUGGAAUUCCACGUGUAGCAGUGAAAUGCGUAGAUAUGUGGAGGAACACCGAUGGCGAAGGCAGCCCCCUGGGAUAAUACUGACGCUCAUGCACGAAAGCGUGGGGAGCAAACAGGAUUAGAUACCCUGGUAGUCCACGCCCUAAACGAUGUCAACUAGCUGUUGGGCCCUUCGGGGCUUAGUAGCGCAGCUAACGCGUGAAGUUGACCGCCUGGGGAGUACGGUCGCAAGAUUAAAACUC